AUGAACGCUGGCGGCGUGCUUCACACAUGCAAGUCGAACGGAAAGGCCCAAGCUUGCUUGGGUACUCGAGUGGCGAACGGGUGAGUAACACGUGGGUGAUCUGCCCUGCACUUCGGGAUAAGCCUGGGAAACUGGGUCUAAUACUGGAUAGGACCACUUCUUGGAUGGUGUGGUGGAAAGUUUUUUCGGUGUGGGAUGAGCUCGCGGCCUAUCAGCUUGUUGGUGGGGUAAUGGCCUACCAAGGCGUCGACGGGUAGCCGGCCUGAGAGGGUGUACGGCCACAUUGGGACUGAGAUACGGCCCAGACUCCUACGGGAGGCAGCAGUGGGGAAUAUUGCACAAUGGGCGCAAGCCUGAUGCAGCGACGCCGCGUGGGGGAUGACGGCCUUCGGGUUGUAAACUCCUUUCGCUAGGGACGAAGCGUUUUUGUGACGGUACCUGGAGAAGAAGCACCGGCUAACUACGUG
rnacentral:rRNA from 1 species